CACAGGCCAGUGGGACCCGGAGCCGGAAGGGAAGGGUCGGAAGGGUGGCAGCAGUUCUCCAGAAGAAACCAGAGAGGGGGCGCCUGGCUGGCUCAGGCGGAAGAGCAUGUGACUCUUGAUCUCAGGGUCGUGAGUCAAGCCCCACGUUGCGCAUAGAGCUUACUUAAACCAAAAUUCAAUUGUAUUUCUAUACAACAGCAAUAAACAAUCUGACAAUUAAAUCAGGAGAAACAAUUCCAUCAAAGAGAAAGAAAAAAAAAAGAAACCAGAGAGGAUGCGAGACACAGCUCCGUAAGGAAAUGUGAAAAUGUGUCACCAAACAGCGAGAUGGCUUUCACAGCUGAGCUGGCCCUUUGUUUAAAAAAAAACAGGGCUACCAGAUGGAACUGGUAGGCUGCAGAGGAGGGGCCUCGUUGUCCAGGGUCCUAUGGGAAGUAGGAGCACCUUUGAGCCCACUCCCUCUCUGAGACCCAGGCCAGCACAAAACCUGCCCCUGCACCGGUCUCAUUCAGGAUAAAUCGAGAGGUUGGAAUCCUGGAUCACCCGAGGGCAAUGUUAUCAUCUCCUGACUAAGCAAACACGUCAGUGGCGUGGAGCGGGCAGCCCAGAAGGUGAGGGGCCAAGGGACCAGCGGUUGCUGUGUACAGAUGGUGGGCCGCCCAGAACAUGAGACACAGCACGAGCGAUCUGCGAAGCCCCGCCUAGAACGGGAGAAGCCCUGGACGUGCGGAGGAAUCCUGGAAAAUGGGGCGCGAAGGUGCUACUGUCUUCAGCAGUCCCCAGUCCGAGUUCCUCCGACAGCGGCCGCCUCUACCCUUCCGCCUAAGUUCCACCCCGAGCAAGACGAAAUCAAACUCGUGGACCUGAGGUGCGCCAGUGGGGGAGUCGGGGCUACAUCCGCCCUGGCCCCGAAGCUCAGCCCUACUGGCCUAUCUCCAAGAUAGGUUGGUGAUGACAUCGCCAAGGCAACCAGUGACUGGAAGGGUCUGGGGGUUACAGUGAAACUGACCAUUCGGGACAGGCCCAGAUUGAAGUGGUACCUUCCACCUCCGUCCUGCUCAUCAAAACCCUCAAGGAACCGCGGAGACAGAAAGAAGCAGAAAAAUAUUAAGCACAGCGGCAAUGUCGCUUUUGAUUAGAAUGUCAACGUUGCCUGACAGAUGCGUCACUGAUCUUUAGCCAGAGAACUCUCUGGAACCAUUAAAGACCUCCUGGGGAUGGCCCGGUCUGUGGGCUGCAACACCAAUGGCUACCACCCUCAGGGCACCACCGAGGACAUCGACAGUGGCGCAGUGGGAUGCCCCGCUAGCUAAGAACUACCAAAGGAAAUACUUCCGUGAAGAUCAUUUGGCAACCGAAAAAGGAAAAAGGUGGGACUGUGCAAGCUGCAGGUCAGGGGGGACUC